rnacentral:lncRNA from 1 species
CCCCUUUAGUUACUUGUUUAACUUAAUUGUUUAUCUUUUGCUUCGGCUAUUGCACUUCAUAGUAGGGUUGCAAUUCACUCUAGAGAAUUUAGUAAGCCCUAAGAUUAAGUGUUUGUAUCUUUCAAGAAAAGAAAAAGGAAAAGUUAAAAUUUUGUCAGUCGCCUAUUAACCCCUCCCCCCCUCUAGUCGACCAUACCGAUCUUUCAGUUUUUAUAUGAUCUUGCCAUAAAACUAUGUUUUUUUGAUCUUUGUGUUGUAGUUCUCUAAUGGUAAUUUGUUAAUAUCUAUUGCACCUUACUUCACCCAUAUGGGCUAUAUAGGGGAUCACUAUGUUGCAAUCGAUUGAUGAGGAAGGGCCGAAAUGAGUAGAAAUUAUUUCCAAUGUUUUGUAUUUAUGGCACAUGGAGUAUUGGCCCUCCAAACUUAAUGAUCCUAACUAGUAAUGGGGUCAAGUUCAUCUAACAAGUAGCCCGUUAGUCAUGGUAUUGAGAUACGUUAAAGCUUAGACUUCACCCACGUAAGAGCAUGAAUCCAUUUAAUAAGAAAAGAUGUAUAAAACUUGUCAAUAUAUGAGUGGUCAAAGAAGAACACCGGGGAUUGGACUAUUUCAAAACAUAUAUUAUUUUGUAAACCUUUUAUUUUAUUUGCAACCUUUGAUUAAACAUCCUAUCAUGGAAAGUUUGUCUUGCAACAAUGAUAGUAAAUUCUAAGCUUAUGCGAAAAAUCCCUUCUUACUCCCAUCGUCGUCUUAUUCAUUGAUUGAAACAUAUAUAAUUAGUCCAGUGCACUUGUGGAUUUCAGGCACGCUCAUAUCACGCUUUUGGCCUUUGAGCUCUGUCUUUGUAGCUCAUUAGCUAUUGUCCUACUCCUUCCUCUUCUAUUUUCAUUGCUCUCCUUCCUCAAGCUUCUUCUCUCCCCUUGGUUGCCCUCCUCCCCCUUGCCCCACUAUUUCUCUUUUUUUUCACGGCUUGCAUCCUUGUUUGGAUUGAGUAUUAAGUGAUGAGUGAUCAUCAGUCUUUAAAGACGAGUGGUUCCUUGAAUAUUUGUUUUUUCAUUGAUUCCUAUAGGAUUUUUUUUUUCUAACGAUUCAAUUGCAUUAGAUUUCAUAGAAGAUUUCCAUAUGCUCCAAUUAUUUGGAAGAAACAUUUUGAUUUUCUCCAUGGGCAACUGAACAAACUUUGGUACAAAUACAAUAUAGUAGUAAUCAGGUGGACGUGAUAUCACAACCAUAGUUUUUUUUUCAUGUUAUUGUGUUUUGAAAUUGUGCGAAUUAAAGAGGUAUUUAUCAUUUUUCCUUGCCACACAAAGCUUCUAUAUUUCUGCUUUAUUUGGAGGAAUUUCUUCCUGCUGUUUUUUUCACUAUCCUCAUGUCGUUGAUGUUGUAAUCAUUUCCUAACUUUUUCUUUACCCAGAUUCACAAAAUCUAGCUUUGGUUCUUCAAAUAAAAUUCUCUCAUUUCAAACCUGCAAAAUUCAAUCUUCUCAACGAAACCUCAUGAAAAUCUACGAUCAAAUAAAGAACUACAAACAUAUAAACAAAACCGAGAAGGAUAAAAGGCAAUUUUUAAAAAUAAAUAGACGAAAACUUGAGACAACCAAACUCAAGUCAAAGAAAAUUCUCCAAACUCUCCGCUCAGCAAAGCAAAAACCAAAUUGCUCCUCUCCGGUCCACCAUUUCCCUUCCUUAUUCCAGCCUAGUUCCUCUUUCAUGUGUUUGAGUUUUUGGAAUUAUGCGAAUUAAAGAGGCAUUUGUCAUUUUUGCUUGCCACAAAGCUUCUAUAUUUCUACUUGAUUUAGAGGAAUUUCUGCCAGUAUCCUCAUGUCGUUGAUGCUGUAAUAAUUUCCUAGCUACUUUCUUGGAAUCACUAGUUUUGUUAUCCAAAUAAAAUUCUCCCAUUUCAAACCUGUAAAAUUCAAUCUUCUCAACGAUACCUCAGGGACUCUACGAUUAAAUGAAGCACUAAACAAAUAAACAAACUGAAGAUGAUAAAAGGCGUUUUGCAAAAAAUGCAUAGAUGAAAACUGAGACAACCAAAUUGAAGUCAAAGAAAAUUCUCCAAACUCUCCGCUCAGCAAAAACCAAAUUUCCCCUCUCCGGUCCACCCUUUUCCUUGCUUAUUCUAGCCUAGUCCAUCUUUCAUGUUUUUGUGUUUUUGGAAUUGUGCGAAUUAAAGAGGCAUUUAUCAUUUUUCCUUUCCACAAAGCUUUCUAUAUUUCUACUUGAUUUGGAGGAAUUUCUUCAUACUGUUUUCUGCAACUAUCCUCAUGCCGUCGAUGAUAUAAUCAUUUCCUAGCUUGUUCGUUCUCUUGAUUCACAAAUUCUAGUUUUGCUUAUCCAAAUAAAAUUCUCCCAUUUCAAACCUGUAAAAUUCAAUCUUCCCAACGAAACCUCAGCGAAAUCUACGAUAAAAUGAAGCACUAAAUAAGUAUAAACAAAAUCGGGAAGGAUAAAAGGCAAUUUUAAAAAAUAAAAAGAUGAAAAAUUGAGACAACCAAACUCAAGUCAAAGAAAAUUCUCCAAACUCUCCGCUCAGCAAAGCAAAAUCCAAAU